rnacentral:rRNA from 1 species
GAACCAGUACCGUGAGGGAAAGGCGAAAAGAACCCCGGCGAGGGGAGUGAAAAAGAACCUGAAACCGUGUACGUACAAGCAGUGGGAGCACCCUUUGGGGUGUGACUGCGUACCUUUUGUAUAAUGGGUCAGCGACUUAUAUUCUGUAGCAAGGUUAACCGUAUAGGGGAGCCGGAGGGAAACCGAGUCUUAACCGGGCGUUAAGUUGCAGGGUAUAGACCCGAAACCCGGUGAUCUAGCCAUGGGCAGGUUGAAGGUUGGGUAACACUAACUGGAGGACCGAACCGACUAAUGUUGAAAAAUUAGCGGAUGACCUGUGGCUGGGGGUGAAAGGCCAAUCAAACCGGGAGAUAGCUGGUUCUCCCCGAAAGCUAUUUAGGUAGCGCCUCGUGAAUUCAUCUCCGGGGGUAGAGCACUGUUUCGGCUAGGGGGCCAUCCCGGCUUACCAACCCGAUGCAAACUGCGAAUACCGGAGAAUGUUAUCACGGGAGACACACGGCGGGUGCUAACGUCCGUCGUGAAGAGGGAAACAACCCAGACCGCCAGCUAAGGUCCCAAAGUCAUGGUUAAGUGGGAAACGAUGUGGGAAGGCCCAGACAGCCAGGAUGUUGGCUUAGAAGCAGCCAUCAUUUAAAGAAAGCGUAAUAGCUCACUGGUCGAGUCGGCCUGCGCGGAAGAUGUAACGGGGCUAAACCAU